rnacentral:rRNA from 1 species
AUUGAACGCUGGCGGCAGGCCUAACACAUGCAAGUCGAGCGAGCGGCGGACGGGUGAGUAAUGUGUGGGAAACUGCCCGAUGGAGGGGGGUAAAUACUGGAAACGGUAGCUAAUACCGCAUACCAUCAGAUGUGCCCAGAUGGGAUUCGCUAGUAGGUGGGGUAACGGCUCACCAAGGCAACGAACCCUAGCUGGUCUGAGAGGAUGACCAGCCACACUGGAACUGAGACACGGUCCAGACUCCUACGGGAGGCAGCAGUGGGGAAUAUUGCACAAUGGGCGCAAGCCUGAUGCAGCCAUGCCGCGUGUGUGAAGAAGGCCUUCGGGUUGUAAAGCACUUUCAGCGGGGAGGCGUUACCCGCAGAAGAAGCACCGGCUAACUCCGUGCCAGCAGCCGCGGUAAUUC